rnacentral:rRNA from 1 species
GGCCCGUAACUGACGGUUGAGGAAGCGAAAGGGGUGGGGAGCAAACAGGCUUUAGAUAACCCUGGUAGUCCACCCCGUAAAACGUUGGGAACUAGUUGUGGGGUCCAUUCCACGGAUUCCGUGACGCAGCUAACGCAUUUAAGUUCCCCGCCUGGGGAGUACGGCCGCAAGGCUAAAACUCAAAGGAAUUGACGGGGACCCGCACAAGCGGCGGAGCAUGCGGAUUAAUUCGAUGCAACGCGAAGAACCUUACCAAGGCUUGACAUAUACGAGAACGGGCCAGAAAUGGUCAACUCUUCGGACACUCGUAAACAGGUGGUGCAUGGUAGUCGUCAGCUCGUGUCGUGAGAUGUUGGGUUAAGUCCCGCAACGAGCGCAACCCUCGUUCUAUGUUGCCAGCACGUAAUGGUGGGAACUCAUGGGAUACUGCCGGGGUCAACUCGGAGGAAGGUGGGGAUGACGUCAAAUCAUCAUGCCCCUUAUGUCUUGGGCUUCACGCAUGCUACAAUGGCCGGUACAAAGGGCUGCAAUACCGUAAGGUGGAGCGAAUCCCAAAAAGCCGGUCCCAGUUCGGAUUGAGGUCUGCAACUCGACCUCAUGAAGUCGGAGUCGCUAGUAAUCGCAGAUCAGCAACGCUGCGGUGAAUACGUUCCCGGGUCUUGUACACACCGCCCGUCAAGUCAUGAAAGUCGGUAACACCUGAAGCCGGUGGCCCAACCCUUGUGGAGGGAGCCGUCG